CUGACCUCGGAUCAGACGUGAAUACCCGC
rnacentral:rRNA from 1 species